UACGUAGGGGGCUAGCGUUGUCCGGAAUUAUUGGGCGUAAAGAGCUCGUAGGCGGCCUGUUGCGUCCGCUGUGAAAUCCCGGGGCUUAACCCCGGGCGUGCAGUGGAUACGGGCUGGCUAGAGGCAGGCAGGGGAGAACGGAAUUCCCGGUGUAGCGGUGAAAUGACGCAGAUAUCGGGAGGAACACCGGUGGCGAAGGCGGUUCUCUGGGCCUGU
rnacentral:rRNA from 1 species